CCUACGGGCGGCAGCAGUGAGGAAUAUUGGUCAAUGGACGCAAGUCUGAACCAGCCAUGCCGCGUGCAGGAUGACGGCUCUAUGAGUUGUAAACUGCUUUUGUACGAGGGUAAAUCCCGAUACGUGUAUCUGGUUGAAAGUAUCGUACGAAUAAGGAUCGGCUAACUCCGUGCCAGCAGCCGCGGUAAUACGGAGGAUUCAAGCGUUAUCCGGAUUUAUUGGGUUUAAAGGGUGCGUAGGCGGUUCGAUAAGUUAGAGGUGAAAUCCCGGGGCUCAACUCCGGCACUGCCUCUGAUACUGUCGGGCUAGAGAUUAGUUGCGGUAGGCGGAAUGUAUGGUGUAGCGGUGAAAUGCAUAGAGAUCAUACAGAACACCGAUUGCGAAGGCAGCUUACCAAACUACGACUGACGUUGAGGCACGAAAGCGUGGGGAGUAAACAGGAUUAGAUACCCUAGUAGUC
rnacentral:rRNA from 1 species